AAGACAAUAUGUAUAAAAAUGUUGUUGUCUAACACUGGUUAGGUUGUCUGGUAACAUCACAGUGACAGCAGGUUAGGUUGUCUGUGAUACCCAGAAACCAUAGUGACAGCAGGUUAGGUUGUCUGUGAUACCCAGAAACCAUAGUGACAGCAGGUUAGGUUGUCUGUA